GAAGCACUGAACAAAACUGAUGAUCGAGAAUUUGAUGUUAUGAAACCAUUGCAGGUAAGAGCGGCUGAUUCACUUGGGGCCCAGGCAUCCAUUCCGGCAACCUCACCUGAAGACAAACUAUUAGGAAGCAAGCAGACAGAUGGAAUUCAUGUCUUGCAGUCGCAGGGGAAAGCUAAUGAGCUCCAGCAAUCAGAGGAUCUGCAGGGCAAGGGUGUUUUGUACUGUGAACUAGGUACUGAGAAUGGCAUUAUGGUUAAUACUGCGG
rnacentral:misc_RNA from 1 species